GGCGGCGUGCUUAACACAUGCAAGUCGAACGGUGAACACGGAGCUUGCUCUGUGGGAUCAGUGGCGAACGGGUGAGUAACACGUGAGCAACCUGCCCCUGACUCUGGGAUAAGCGCUGGAAACGGCGUCUAAUACUGGAUACGAGUAGCGGCCGCAUGGUCAGUUACUGGAAAGAUUUUUUGGUUGGGGAUGGGCUCGCGGCCUAUCAGCUUGUUGGUGAGGUAAUGGCUCACCAAGGCGUCGACGGGUAGCCGGCCUGAGAGGGUGACCGGCCACACUGGGACUGAGACACGGCCCAGACUCCUACGGGAGGCAGCAGUGGGGAAUAUUGCACAAUGGGCGGAAGCCUGAUGCAGCAACGCCGCGUGAGGGAUGACGGCCUUCGGGUUGUAAACCUCUUUUAGCAGGGAAGAAGCGAAAGUGACGGUACCUGCAGAAAAAGCGCCGGCUAACUACGUGCCAGCAGCCGCGGUAAUACGUAGGGCGCAAGCGUUAUCCGGAAUUAUUGGGCGUAAAGAGCUCGUAGGCGGUUUGUCGCGUCUGCUGUGAAAUCCCGAGGCUCAACCUCGGGCCUGCAGUGGGUACGGGCAGACUAGAGUGCGGUAGGGGAGAUUGGAAUUCCUGGUGUAGCGGUGGAAUGCGCAGAUAUCAGGAGGAACACCGAUGGCGAAGGCAGAUCUCUGGGCCGUAACUGACGCUGAGGAGCGAAAGGGUGGGGAGCAAACAGGCUUAGAUACCCUGGUAGUCCACCCCGUAAACGUUGGGAACUAGUUGUGGGGUCCAUUCCACGGAUUCCGUGACGCAGCUAACGCAUUAA
rnacentral:rRNA from 1 species